rnacentral:rRNA from 1 species
CGGCGUGCCUAAUACAUGCAAGUCGAACGCUUUUUCUUUCACCGGAGCUUGCUCCACCGAAAGAAAAAGAGUGGCGAACGGGUGAGUAACACGUGGGUAACCUGCCCAUCAGAAGGGGAUAACACUUGGAAACAGGUGCUAAUACCGUAUAACACUAUUUUCCGCAUGGAAGAAAGUUGAAAGGCGCUUUUGCGUCACUGAUGGAUGGACCCGCGGUGCAUUAGCUAGUUGGUGAGGUAACGGCUCACCAAGGCCACGAUGCAUAGCCGACCUGAGAGGGUGAUCGGCCACACUGGGACUGAGACACGGCCCAGACUCCUACGGGAGGCAGCAGUAGGGAAUCUUCGGCAAUGGACGAAAGUCUGACCGAGCAACGCCGCGUGAGUGAAGAAGGUUUUCGGAUCGUAAAACUCUGUUGUUAGAGAAGAACAAGGAUGAGAGUAGAACGUUCAUCCCUUGACGGUAUCUAACCAGAAAGCCACGGCUAACUACGUGCCAGCAGCCGCGGUAAUACGUAGGUGGCAAGCGUUGUCCGGAUUUAUUGGGCGUAAAGCGAGCGCAGGCGGUUUCUUAAGUCUGAUGUGAAAGCCCCCGGCUCAACCGGGGAGGGUCAUUGGAAACUGGGAGACUUGAGUGCAGAAGAGGAGAGUGGAAUUCCAUGUGUAGCGGUGAAAUGCGUAGAUAUAUGGAGGAACACCAGUGGCGAAGGCGGCUCUCUGGUCU